rnacentral:rRNA from 1 species
UACGAAGGGGGCUAGCGUUGCUCGGAAUCACUGGGCGUAAAGCGCACGUAGGCGGAUUUUUAAGUCAGAGGUGAAAUCCCGGAGCUCAACUCCGGAACUGCCUUUGAUACUGAUAAUCUUGAGUUCGGGAGAGGUGAGUGGAACUGCGAGUGUAGAGGUGAAAUUCGUAGAUAUUCGCAAGAAACACCCAGUGGCGAAGGCGGCUCACUGGCCCGAUACUGACGCUGAGGCACGAAAAGCGUGGGGAGCAAACAGG